UGGCUCAGAACGAACGCUGGCGGCGUGUUUAACACAUGCAAGUCGAGCGGAAAGGCCCUUCGGGGUACUCGAGCGGCGAACGGGUGAGUAACACGUGAGCAACUUGCCCCUGGCUCUGGGAUAGCUCCGGGAAACCGGGAUUAAUACCGGAUAUGACCUCCUGCUGCAUGGCGGGGGGAGGAAAGUUUUUCGGAUGGGGACGGGCUUGCGGCAUAUCAGCUAGUUGGAGGGGUAACGUCCUACCAAGGUGGUGACGGGUAGCCGGCCUGAGAGGCCGACAGGCCCCAUUGGGAUUGAGACACGGCCCAAGAUCCUACGGGAGGCA
rnacentral:rRNA from 1 species